AUAGCGAUAUCCUCUGAAUGGU
rnacentral:miRNA from 1 species